AGGCUGUAGCUCAAAUAGAAUGCUACCGCCAGGAGACAUGACCAUGAUUCCAUUAAACAGUUAAGACUGCUUCUCGGCCACCUUGGGCUCCUCAGGCCUUUGAAAAAAACACAUAAAGGAUGAGACUUAAGGUGUUUAAUGAUCCUGACUACACAGAAAAAUGAGACUGUUAAUCCACCGUGGAGGAAAAGAAGGGGAAUAUCCUAUAAUGUGGGCCCAGAGCUUGGGCAGGCCCUCAAUUUACCCACGUGGAUUUGAAUAGAUGACACACAGGGCACUAAAGAACUGAAUGUUAUAACCUGCGCUAUUGAAUGAGCACUCCCAGGUAAAGCAUUUAUCAAAUCCUGGCGUUCAUCACAGAAAAAGUAAGAUGGUACACCAAGUGUUCCAUCGGCACAGAACUUAUGAUGUAUCAGAUGAAGCGCCAAGGAAGAGGGAAUCAGGGAUGCAGUCCGUCUCCGUGAGCAUCAGUGUUGUCAUGAAGGACAUCAUGCCAGCUCCAAAAAGGCACAGCUCAAUGUCUACCCAGCGUAAAUAUGUAGAAAUGGUGUUUUUCUUCUAAAAAGAUACGUAUUAUACAUAAAUAUUAAGAUCAGUAUUUAUAAAUAAACAAGAAAAAUGCUCCAAA